UUCCAGCAGGGUAAGCAGGUCAUCAGAAUCAGAGAUCACCGGGCACAGGAACACCAUUGUCUGGGGACUGGUUGGUGGGUUAUCUCUGUGGCUAGUGACUGGCUUAGUGGGCAGUUCCAGCAGGGUAAGCAGGUCAUCAGAAUCAGAGAUCACCGGGCACAGGAACACCAUUGUCUGGGCACUGGUUGGUGGGUUAUCUCUGUGGCUAGUGACUGGCUUAGUGGGCAGUUCCAGCAGGGUAAGCAGGUCAUCAGAAUCAGAGAUCACCGGGCACAGGAACACCAUUGGAUAGGUGUAUCAGGCAGAAAUGAUCUUUACCUAUAGGAACCUGCAACCCGUCCUAUUUAUUACCAGUCAAAGCCUGAGCAAAGCAUGGAUCCCUGUUCUUAUUCUUCUAGGAAACGUCACAUUUUCUAUCACACAAGACAUUGCUCAGGCAUCUAAUAGCCUGGAGGAUGGGACAGACGUGACAACGUUCUGGUGGGGAGAGUGGACGAAAUGGACUGCUUGUACUAGAACCUGCGGAGGAGGUGUAAAGUCUCAAGAAAGGCAUUGCCUUAGACAAAGGCGGAAAUCUCUCAGUUCACUCGGGAAUAAGAACUGCACCGGGACAUCCAAAAGAUAUCAGCUCUGUAAAGUCCAGGAAUGUCUGAGUAACAGCAGGAGUUUCCGAGAAGAACAGUGUACAUCUUUCAAUUCUCACGUGUAUAAUGGAAAAACCUAUCAAUGGAAACCACUCUAUCCCGAUGACUAUGUGCACAUCUCCAGCAAACCCUGUGACCUGCAGUGCACUACGGUUGAUGGCCAGAGACAACUCAUGGUCCAGGCUCGGGAUGGGACAUCCUGCAAAUACAGUGACUAUCGAGGGGUUUGCGUGUCUGGAAAAUGUGAGCCAAUUGGAUGUGACGGGGUUUUGUUCUCCACCCACACCCUGGAUAAAUGUGGUGUCUGCCAGGGAGAUGGGAGCAGCUGUGUCCACGUCACUGGGAAUUACAGGAAAGGAGCUUCCCAUCUUGGCUAUGCCCUAGUGACAUACAUCCCCAUUGGUGCAAGGGAUAUCCAGAUAGUCGAACGCAAGAAAUCUGCAGAUGUCUUAGCUGUUGCAGAUGAAUCUGGAUAUUACUACUUUAAUGGCAACUUCAAGGUUGACACCCCGAAAAAUUUUAAUAUUGCCGGCACUGUGUUUAAAUACCGAAGACCUAUGGAUGUGUAUGAGACCGGAAUAGAAUAUAUAGUAGCUCAAGGACCGACCAACCAAGGCUUGAACAUCAUGGUAUGGAACCAAAAUGGCAAAAAUCCUUCAAUCACUUUCCAAUAUACCCUCCUCAGGAGGCCACAUUCUCGGGUCACUCAGCCAAUCUAUUACCCCUUCUCAGACUCUGAGAGUGAAGAAAGUAAAGAGUUUGACGAGGACUUUACAUCUCAGAACAGAAGUAUCAGCAGUAAUGUGCAGAAAGGAAGAACUAAAGCGGAAACUCCAACCUUUGGAAUACCAAAUUCAGGGGAAAAUGCAAGCCCGGUCAAUGAGCAGCACACAAAUGAAGUGUAUGAAGCAGGAGAAGCCAUGGACUGUGAGAAGAAGGCAAAAUGCAAAGCAAUAAAAGAUUUGAGCACAAACAAGACUACUUACAUCACAGACACUGGAGACCAAGACUCCUCGCACAGAUUUAGCUCCAAGGAGUUUCUCCCUGGUAAUGUCAUUGCCAAGAAGAUUUCCAGCAAAGCCUCAGGAUCCAGGGAGACUUUCCAUCACCUCAACAAAAGUCUUGGAGAACCUUUGAACUCUGUGGAGGCCAACCUGGACAAUCUGUAUCCUGAUUAUGAGGAAAAUGAGGAAAUGGCUACAUUCGACUUGAACGUCACCUUCUUGGAGUUGAGCAUCAACACCUCAGCUGAGACCCAAUUGACCAACGCAACAGUUCCUUCUACAAAUCGUACCCAAAAAGUGAGAAAAGGGCCAAAGUUACUGAGGAAGGUUCAGGGGAUAAGCGCAGUGGACAUGUACCGAUGGAAGCUGUCUUCUCACGAGCCAUGCAGUGCCACGUGUACCACAGGCGUGAUGUCAAACUACGCCAUGUGCGUGCGAUACGAUGGAGUAGAAGUGGACGACUCACACUGUGACGCAUUGACCCGUCCCGAGCCCGUGCACGAGUUCUGUGCCGGGCGGGAAUGUCAGCCAAGGUGGGAGACAAGUAGCUGGAGUGAAUGUUCGCGGACGUGUGGUGAGGGCUACCAGUUCCGAAUUGUCAGAUGCUGGAAAAUGAUCUCUCCUGGGUUUGAUAGCUCAGUGUACAGCGACUUAUGUGAUUCUGCCGAUAUCACUAAACCAGAUGACAAGAAAGUGUGUAGAAACCCAACAUGUGGACCCCAAUGGGAAAUGUCAGAAUGGUCUGAGUGUACAGCAAAAUGUGGGGAGCGCAGCAUUGUCACCCGAGACGUGCGCUGUUCAGAAGAUGAAAAACUCUGCGACCCGAACACCAAGCCACCUUCAGAGAAGAACUGCACGGGACCUUCCUGUGACCGCCAAUGGACCGUAUCAGACUGGGGACCUUGCAGUGGAUCUUGUGGCCAAGGGAAGAUGAUAAGACACGUGUACUGCAAAACCAGUGAUGGCAGAGUGGUCCCUGAGUCCCAGUGCAAUCUAGAGACAAAGCCAUUGGCCAUCCAUCCAUGUGGGGACAAGAACUGCCCUGCGCAAUGGGUGAGCCAAGACUGGGAAAGGUGUAACACCACCUGUGGCAGGGGAGCAAAACAACGAGUGGUCCAUUGCCUUGAAGUGGCCAGUGGUAAAGUCAAGACUCGCAACCCUUCCGAUUGUGACAUUGCUAAGAAACCUGCGGAGGAGAGCACCUGCUUCGAGCGACCAUGCUUUAAGUGGUAUACUACGCCCUGGUCUGAGUGCAGCAAAACCUGUGGGGUUGGAGUCCGGAUGAGGGACGUCAAGUGCUUCCAGGGAAGAGACAUAGUUCGUGGCUGCGAUCUCUUGGUAAAGCCAAUUGGGAAACAGACCUGUGACCUGCAGCCUUGCCCUACUGAUCCUCCAGAUGACAGCUGUCAAGACCAGGCUGGAACAAAUUGUGCUUUGGCCAUUAAAGUGAAUCUGUGCAGUCACUGGUACUACAGCAAGGCCUGCUGCCGGUCCUGCCGCUCUGCCCAUUCAUAGGAACUUCCCUCUGUGAGACAGAGACACUGCAGGCAAAGGGAUACGUGACAGUACAUCCAGCCCGACCACCACACUUGGGGGCUUCAAAGAUCACCCGCUCGGUGGAGUACUCAAGGAAGUUUAGGUGGAACUGUAUCCCAAGAGAGUUUUAUUUGCUUUCAGGCUGAAGAAAAUAGACCCAUGCUGCUUUGUCACAAUAUGUAUUUUCUAAUUUAUCCUGUGUAAUUUUAUCAGAGACUUUUACCACGGACGGUCGACCUCUGGCGCUGCCGCCAUUGCGGAACUUCGUGAGGCCAGCUAAGCUAUUGGGUGUGAUGGCGUUUGGCAAUAGCCAGGAGCCCAGGGGUCAUCCAGUCUGACCUCUAACGCAUUCCACAUACGGAAAGAAGUUUAGUUAUUGUUCACAUGAACUUGUAAUAUGAAGGUGUAUACUUUUAGAAUGAUGUAUCCGUACAUACAACAGUUAUUCUCGUGAGCUGUACAGAAUUAUAAUCUUAUUACAGACUGACUAAUCUAAGGGUCCAACCCUCGAUGGGCAUCUUGAAGGCAACGACUCAAAGCUUCUUAUAAUCCACUUUUUGUCCAAUGAUUUUUUUU